rnacentral:misc_RNA from 1 species
GAUGAAGAACGUAGCGAAAUGCGAUACUUGGUGUGAAUUGCAGAAUCCCGUGAACCAUCGAGUCUUUGAACGCAAGUUGCGCCCGAAGCCAUUAGGCCGAGGGCACGCCUGCCUGGGCGUCACACGUCGUUGCCCCCCCAUCUACUCCUUCGGGAUUGCGGGGGGCGGAUGAUGGCCUCCCGUGCGCCUAGCCGCGCGGUUGGCAUAAAUACCAAGUCCUCGGCGACGCACGCCACGACAAUCGGUGGUUGCGAAACCUCGGUUGCCCGUCGUGUGCGUUCGUCGCGCAUCGAGGGCUCGAAAAAAUGCUCGGCUCCGGCUGGGCUUUCAACGCGACCCCAGGUCAGGCGGGGUUACCCGCUGAAUUUAAGCAUAUCAAUAAGCGGAGGA